AGCUCACACCUGCCCUGUGUCCUCCGUGGGUGACAUCUGGCUGUCCACACCUGAAGCCCUGAUGUCUGAGGGUUCUCCAGAUGUCUGUCCAUAUCCUGAGUUCUACACCCCCAUAUUCAACCAGCUAUGGCUGCAGUCAGCAGCACACCUCGAUCACAAACUGGCAUCUCCCGUCAGCGCCUGACAAACAACAGGAAAUCAGUGCUGGUUCCACGAGGCUCACAGUACCUAGAGAAACCUGAAGUUUUCCAGACCGCCCCGCUGUCAUGGCAACAGCAGAAGAAACAAACAAAGCUCACAUCAAGCGACUGAACACAAAGCCAUACCAUUAUUUUAAUAAUCGGCAAUGGCCACGCGGGGCUGACAGCAGCAGGCUUUCAGG